rnacentral:rRNA from 1 species
AGGUUACUGCUAUCGAGGUUCGACUAAGCCAUGCGAGUCGAAUGUAGCAAUACAUGGCGAACUGCUCAGUAACACGUGGACAACCUGCCCUUAGGUUGGGUAUAAACCCGGGAAACUGGGUAUAAUACCCGAUAGGUCUCGAUUGCUGGAAUGCAUCGAGAUUUAAAGCUCCGGCGCCUAAGGAUGGGUCUGCGGCCUAUCAGGUAGUAGUGGGUGUAGCGUACCUACUAGCCUACGACGGGUACGGGUUGUGAGAGCAAGAGCCCGGAGAUGGAUUCUGAGACACGAAUCCAGGCCCUACGGGGUGCAGCAGGCGCGAAAACUUUACAAUGCUGGCAACAGCGAUAAGGGAACCUCGAGUGCCAGGUUACAAAUCUGGCUGUCGAGAUGCCUAAAAAGCAUUUCAUAGCAAGGGCCGGGCAAGACCGGUGCCAGCCGCCGCGGUAACACCGGCGGCUCGAGUGGUAACCGUUAUUAUUGGGUCUAAAGGGUCUGUAGCCGGCCGGAUAAGUCUCUUGAGAAAUCUGGCAGCUUAACUGUCAGGCUUUCAGGAGAUACUGUCUGGCUCGAGGCCGGGAGAGGUGAGAGGUACUUCAGGGGUAGGGGUGAAAUCUUGUAAUCCUUGAAGGACCACCAGUGGCGAAGGCGUCUCACCAGAACGGACCUGACGGCAAGGGACGAAAGCUAGGGGCACGAACCGGAUUAGAUACCCGGGUAGUCCUAGCCGUAAACGAUACUCGCUAGGUGUCGGCCACGGUGCGACCGUUGUCGGUGCCGUAGGGAAGCCGUGAAGCGAGCCACCUGGGAAGUACGGCCGCAAGGCUGAAACUUAAAGGAAUUGGCGGGGGAGCACCACAACUGGUGGAUCUUGCGGUUU